rnacentral:lncRNA from 1 species
GUGGAUGGGCUGCAGGGCAGAAGUGGCGGGGGGCAAGAGCAGCCGAGGCAGAGAAGGCCUUCACUUGCUUGGCCAGCAGCUGUUGUUGGAUGUGCUGCGGCGCGGCCUGCUGGAGCUUGCUGGACUUCUCCAUCUCCUCAGGCUUGAAGGUGAUGGGCUGGCUCUCCAGGGGGGCCAGCAAGGCGACCUCCGUCCCCUCCUGGACUCCAUGCGGGUCUUGGACAAUCUCCCAAGGGGAGGGCCGAGGCCCGAGGCCCGCAGGCUCCCUUACCUGAGGAGCUGGAACACUGGACUGUACGCUUUCCUCCUGGUCAGCUCUGUGGGUAGUGUGAGGCCCACGACUGCACAGGCACCUGCCCCAGAAAGUGGGUGUCGCCAUUGGCAGAGAGGGCGGGGCCUGCAGGCAGUGGGCCUGUCAGUUGGAGUCGGGCCUGUCAGUUGGAGUCGGGCCUGUCAGUUGGAGUCUGGCCUUGAUCGGCCCAAGGUCCAGUUACCAGACAUGGAUGGGGGGUUAGUCACUGUGGAGGAGUGCAGGGCUGAGGCACUGGGACAGAGGGGAGCUGAACUGAACUGGGUUUUAGGAGUGGAAGGGCUGCAUCUGCAGAGGGGCCCUGGGCUGGAGGUGUGGCGAAGUUCCACCUGGCCCGGCUAGGCCCCGCCCCUUCCGCCAAAUUGCCCCCCCCCCCGCGCCACAUCUGCACACAUGCGCAAGCAGUCACGUAGUGUACGCUUCCCACCCCGUGCGUGCCUCAGUCCAUGUUCCAGCUGUGACGAAGAGCAUCAGGUUGCAGCCCUGCCUUUGUCCUCGGUGGUUUGGGGCCCGAGGACUCACCCACUGCCCUCACCACUCCAGACCACCACCUUCUGGGAUGCCAGACACUUAGCACCAGAGGCUCCUACCUGGGACAUCCGGCUGCCACACUCCGUGACACGAGGCUGCUGCCUAGGACUCCGCACGUCCACCCAGGAUGCCCAGCUGACCAUGCCCAAGGCCUUCCUGCAGCUUGACCGGCAGAACUAACGGGGCCCAGCAGUGAUGAAGAAAGUGACUAAGACAACUAUCAGUACCACCAUUUCAUAGAUGAGGAAACUGAGGCCCAGAGUGCACACAGUUGCUGAGAUCUGAAAUGGAUGGCUGGCAAGUCUCAAGUACUUUGCACUUCUUUCUCUGUGUGACAGCGAAGGCCAGCCCAGAAGCAACUUGCCCCUGAGAAGGCCACAGAACACAGCAAAAGACCCGGGGAAGGCUUGUGCUGCCCGACACCUGAUGCUCAGGCUCUGAGACACCCAGUUCCUAUGGCAGAAUGACUUCCAGGGGGCAGACUUCUCAUCCAUGGCAGCUGUGUGCAGCAAGGCAUGCCGAACACUGUCCCCAAACCCAGAGUACCUGUCUGCCCUCUGGGCCUGGAUUGGUUUGGGCCCACACUAAGGGGAGAGCAGGAGUCCUAUAAGUUGGGCCACACGGAACAAUAAUAUUCCAUUUAUCCUUUGCUGUUUGUUUGAUGUCUCGAAACCAAAAGAGCUCAGUCAGAGUCUCCACUGC